rnacentral:rRNA from 1 species
CAGUAGCCGCGGUAAUACGUAGGUGGCAAGCGUUGUCCGGAAUUAUUGGGCGUGAAGGGCUCGCAGGCGGUUUCUUAAGUCUGAUGUGAAAGCCCCCGGCUCAACCGGGGAGGGUCAUUGGAAACUGGGAAACUUGAGUGCAGAAGAGGAGAGUGGAAUUCCACGUGUAGCGGUGAAAUGCGUAGAGAUGUGGAGGAACACCAGUGGCGAAGGCGACUCUCUGGUCUGUAACUGACGCUGAGGAGCGAAAGCGUGGGGAGCGAACAGGAUUAGAUACCCCGGUAGUCCCUGUCUCUUAUAC